UGGGGAAUAUUGGACAAUGGGCGCAAGCCUGAUCCAGCCAUGCCGCGUGAGUGAUGAAGGCCCUAGGGUUGUAAAGCUCUUUCACCGGUGAAGAUAAUGACGGUAACCGGAGAAGAAGCCCCGGCUAACUUCGUGCCAGCAGCCGCGGUAAUACGAAGGGGGCUAGCGUUGUUCGGAUUUACUGGGCGUAAAGCGCACGUAGGCGGACUUUUAAGUCAGGGGUGAAAUCCCGGGGCUCAACCCCGGAACUGCCUUUGAUACUGGAAGUCUUGAGUAUGGUAGAGGUGAGUGGAAUUCCGAGUGUAGAGGUGAAAUUCGUAGAUAUGCGGAGGAACACCAGUGGAGAAGGCGGCUCACUGGACCAUUACUGACGCUGAGGUGCGAAAGAGUGGGGAGCAAACAGG
rnacentral:rRNA from 1 species